rnacentral:rRNA from 1 species
GAUGAACGCUGGCGGCGUGCUUAACACAUGCAAGUCGAACGAAGCACCUUAUUCUGAUUUCUUCGGAAUGAAAAAUUCGGUGACUGAGUGGCGGACGGGUGAGUAACGCGUGGGUAACCUGCCUCAUACAGGGGGAUAACAGUUAGAAAUGACUGCUAAUACCGCAUAAGACCACAGCACCGCAUGGUGCAGGGGUAAAAACUCCGGUGGUAUGAGAUGGACCCGCGUCUGAUUAGGUAGUUGGUGGGGUAACGGCCUACCAAGCCGACGAUCAGUAGCCGACCUGAGAGGGUGACCGGCCACAUUGGGACUGAGACACGGCCCAAACUCCUACGGGAGGCAGCAGUGGGGAAUAUUGCACAAUGGGGGAAACCCUGAUGCAGCGACGCCGCGUGAGCGAUGAAGUAUUUCGGUAUGUAAAGCUCUAUCAGCAGGGAAGAAAAUGACGGUACCUGACUAAGAAGCACCGGCUAA